ACAAAUAUCCGAAUUUGAGGAAUCAAGAGAAUCAAGAAUUCCAUCUGACACGAGUUUCUGAAUUCUUUGAAUGGAUAUGUGACCCAAACAUUUGUGCCAGAGUGAUAUAGAAUUCAAUUAGUUAAUUUUCUUUUGGUACUACUUGAACUUGUAUGCAAAGUUUCAUUAUGUGAGGUUAUUAUAUCAACCAAAUAUAGGCUAUUAUAUGUUGAUAA
rnacentral:lncRNA from 1 species